rnacentral:rRNA from 1 species
AGUGAACGCUGGCGGUAGGCCUAACACAUGCAAGUCGAACGGCAGCACAGUAAGAGCUUGCUCUUACGGGUGGCGAGUGGCGGACGGGUGAGGAAUACAUCGGAAUCUACUUUUUCGUGGGGGAUAACGUAGGGAAACUUACGCUAAUACCGCAUACGACCUACGGGUGAAAGCAGGGGAUCUUCGGACCUUGCGCGAUUGAAUGAGCCGAUGUCGGAUUAGCUGGUUGGCGGGGUAAAGGCCCACCAAGGCGACGAUCCGUAGCUGGUCUGAGAGGAUGAUCAGCCACACUGGAACUGAGACACGGUCCAGGCUCCUACGGGAGGCAGCAGUGGGGAAUAUUGGACAAUGGGCGCAAGCCUGAUCCAGCCAUACCGCGUGGGUGAAGAAGGCCUUCGGGUUGUAAAGCCCUUUUGUUGGGAAAGAAAAGCAGCAGGUUAAUACCCCGCUGUUCUGACGGUACCCAAAGAAUAAGCACCGGCUAACUUCGUG